CAUUAAGCAAGCGUGUAUUUUUCCUCUAAUGGAUUGAGUGGCGCACAUAAUUAGUGGUGACGCCAUUUGGAAUGUCUAGGCAGUGACAGUUGUGUUUACCUGUAACUGAUUAAUGAACAUGUCAAGCCUUUCUUUUUCUCUCUUAUUAUUUCAGGCCUGUCUUGAAUGAAAUCUGACAGAAGAUGUUACAGCAGUUUUCUCUCUGGAAAUGGUUACCUUUCGGGAUUAUUCUUGGCACUCUCUUCCCAUUUGGCUCUGGCCAGCACGACGAUGCUAUAUUUCGCUCUGGAGAUAGCACGGAGUAGUGUGAAAAGUCUGAAAUCAGAAGGUGUGGGAGCCACUUACUUGUCAUCUCUGAUCCUGGGGAGCCUGAUUUCUAUGUAUCUCUUGAACUCAGAAAUUCUGAAUUGUAGGGAGCUGAUUCUCCAACCAAAGUGAUGAAGGCACAAGAGCUGGGGGACCCACCAGCUUUUCAAAGAAAGUGCAAAUCAGCCCAGAUACUUCAAUAGAGAACCUCAAAUCUCAACAAUAGGAUCCAGUCAAGUUCAAUAAAAGUUCUGAGUGUGAACCUGACA
rnacentral:lncRNA from 1 species